AUGAAGACAACUUACCCUUCUGACAAUGUGACGAGUGGGUCAGGGACUGA
rnacentral:snoRNA from 1 species